rnacentral:misc_RNA from 1 species
UUUCCGUAGGUGAACCUGCGGAAGGAUCAUUCAUAAUAAGUGUUUUAUGGCACUUUUUUAAAUCAAUACCCCCCUGGUUUGCAAUGUAAGGGAUGAUUUUUCUCUCGAGAGGGUAAGCCCCAACCAUCAACUUUAACUCAACUCCUUAUCUAAAAAAUAUUAUGAAUAAAACAAUUCAAAAUACAACUAUCAACAACGGAUCUCUUGGCUCUC